UUAUACAAAAAUCAAUUCAAGAUGGAUUAAAGAUUUAAACGUUAAACCUAAAACCAUAAAAACCCUAGAAGAAAACCUAGGCAUUACCAUUCAGGACAUAGGCGUGGGCAAGGACUUCAUGUCCAAAACACCAAAAGCAAUGGCAACAAAAGACAAAAUUGACAAAUGGGAUCUAAUUAAACUAAAGAGCUUCUGCACAGCAAAAGAAACUACCAUCAGAGUGAACAGGCAACCUACAACAUGGGAGAAAAUUUUCGCAACCUACUCAUCUGACAAAGGGCUAAUUAAUGCUAGAUGACACAUUAGUGGGUGCAGCGCACCAGCAUGGCACAUGUAUACAUAUGUAACUAACCUGCACAAUAUGCACAUGUACCCUAAAACUUAGAGUAUAAUAAAAAAAUAUUGAAGUCUGAUUUAGAAACUUAAUCCACCAUGAAAUUAAAAAAGAAAAAUCUUAAAAAUAAGAAUAACCUAAUAAAACAUCCCACUGAAAUAUUUUUGGUAGAUUAUUUUACAGUGGGAAUGCAUUCUUUCAUUUCAUGAAUUUUGUUUUAUUUUUCCCUUUCUUGGGAUGGUAUCUAUUUCUUCAUACUACUUUAUUAUUCAGGGUAAGUUUGUCUAUUACCCCGCAAGUGCUUUUAGGGGUUUUGGUGUAUCUACUUCAUUUAUUAAAAAAUCACCGUAUUGAAGUGUGAAUUGCUCAAUCCAUCUCCAACUCAACAGGAACGAAAGUCAAUUUCUAAUCUUUUGUUCUAAGACUGUUCUCCCUGAGCAUUUUUCAUUUUGGUUCCUGGCAAUUCUAUCCUUCCAAAUAUCCUAUCUAUUCUAUACUCAGGUAAAAAUCCUUGGAGUCAUUUUUGCCUUUUCUCUUAGAGCAACUUAGACUUCUUCAGGGCUCCAGAGCAGCAGCAUGGUGGACAGUGUGCUUCUCAGCAGCGUGGGCUGCCAGGCCUGGAAAAUGGGAUAGUACCUGGCAGAAGAAGCACUGGUUGCAGGCAUAAUCAUGAUACCUAGUGGCAGCAGCAGGGGCUGGAGGAUGCAGAUCUCCCUGGAAGAAAUGGUACAGGUGCUUGUCAUGAAGCAGCUCCCAGUGGGCAUGGCAGCACUUUAUGGCACCAGA
rnacentral:lncRNA from 1 species